rnacentral:ncRNA from 1 species
GCAAAUCCCAUGAAGGGAACGAGUACUUUGUCCCCCGUUUCUCCCAGAGAGCUGACAGAUGGUGGAAGUCAGCAGAAACCGGCAAAGGAAAAUCCUCCCCCAGGAGCCUGCUGAAGCCCAGUAAGCAUGGACGGCCUUCCCCCGUUAACCGGAACGCGUAUGUUAGUACGUAGCAGAGCGCUUCGCGCCAGCAAUGGCCGGAGAACCAGGGUGGUAUCGCGGAAAUGUUUCCGUCCCUAUU